rnacentral:lncRNA from 1 species
UCUCAUCUGGAGAUGGCUGUAGUGGGCAGGCUGUUUUGGCUCUGCUUCUACAGACCUAUGCAGCAGGUUUUGUAUUGGGUUCAACCUACAGGCCAAUAGAUGACAUUUGCAGGUGAAGAGCUGGAUAGUGGGGUUCCUGGUGUUCCGUGGAAGAGGCCGGACACAAUUGGGCAGAGCUGGAGCCUCUGGCUUGCCCAUGUGUAUCCCAAUGGUACUUCAGAUGCACACUGUAGUCUAUCUCCAGACCACAGUGUGGUUGAUUGAAAGCCUCAGGAAACCUUGUUUUCCAGAAGAAAAUAAACUUGAUGUUUUCUUUGGGCCUAUCAUUAUCAUCACUAUGA